GGAAAAAUGUGUUACUGCCCCCUUUUUAGACAUCUGGUAGUGAUUAAAUGUGAGUAUAAAGCAGAGAUGAAGUGUGCUUGGACUACAGAAAGCAGCAGUAUGAAGAGUAGUGUGCAGCUAGGGCUGUUGUGUCUCAGCCUGCUCAUCUUCAGUCUUCAUGGAGAAGAAGAAGUCGAGACAGAUUCAAGCAUGCAAAACCCAAUUAAGUUUGAUGAGCCGGAUCUUCAUCAGUUUGAGAUGUACAGAGUACGAAGACAGACGGUCUCCACAGAGAAGGAAAAUACAGCAAAGACAGUAGCUGUUGUGCCACCAAGUGAGAACAGCAAGGCUAAGAGAAAACGGCCACGUCCAGGAGGUCUUACUCCUUUAGGAGACAGUGGAGAUUCAACGGUAUUCACUGUCCUCUGUCAGUUCAUUAAAAAUAAAUGGUGAAAUAAUACAUAGGAUAUAUAUACUGUAAAUAGAGAAAAAUGUUGAGUACAUGCUUCACCAGUUACAUGAUUUUCUAAUCUAAAUAUAUAUCGACUUGCUUUACACUGAAUUCAUCAUUUGGUUUUCUCGGUUCAACGUCUAUCGCUGCACCAAGAGCCAGGACAAAAACAGGAAUAACAAACAGAAAAAACGUCCCGGGAGUCAGAGCCUUUUAGCAAUCAGUGGAGUUUUCCAGGUAAUCACUAUUCUCUGAUCAGCCUGUCAGCAUGUCAUUUAAACACAUUAAUAGUUAUUUUUAUUUAAGAAAUAGACUGAAUUGCUUUACUGUGAACUCAUCAUUUGCCUCCCUCAAUUAAAGCUGCCCCAACAGACUGCCAAAGCCAAGAGAGAUGCCGGAGGAAAAAGGCCCUUGCCAGAAAGUUAAAGCAUUGUACAUGUUCAAGGCUCCUUCUGAGAGCUUUAGAAGAAGAAUGGAGACCUCAGAGGAACACUAUUACGACUACCCCGAGUAUGAAAACAACAGCUCCAACUUCAGCUACGAUGACUAUCAGACCAUCUGUGAGAAGGGCGACGUGCGCUCCUUCGCGAGGAUCUUCCUCCCAGCUGUUUUUGUGUUAUCUCUAGUGAUUGGUUUAGCAGGCAACGCUCUGGUUGUGGCGGUGUAUGCAUACUGCAAGCAACUGAAAACGAUGACUGACACGUUUAUACUUCACCUGGCUGUGGCCGACCUUUUGCUGCUCCUAACGUUGCCCUUCUGGGCUGCCGAUGCCGUCCACGGGUGGGAGCUCGGGGUCACCGUCUGUAAACUCGUAUCUGCCCUGUACACCAUCAACUUCACCUGUAGCAUGAUGCUGCUGGCCCACAUCAGCAUGGAUCAGUACUUGGCUUUGACACCAGGAGCCAGAAACACAGGCAUUAUGCGUGCUUUUCAAAAGAAGCAUUGUGUAAAACUCUGUUUGGUUGUCUGGACCAUUGCGUUUUUUCUUGGCGUCCCUGAUUUGGUGUUUUCAACAGUCAGAGAGCUUCCUCAUAAAAAAAGCUGCAUCGCAAUGUAUCAAUCGGACAUGGCGCUCAGGGCUAAAGCUAGUUUGGAAGUGGUGGAGGUCGUAAUAGGCUUCUUGCUACCUUUAUUAGUGAUGUUGUUCUGCUACACUUGUGUAGGCCGAACCCUACUGAAGCUCCCUCAGGAGAGGAGGUGGAGGAAGUGGAGGUCCAUCCGUGUGCUGCUGGCGAUGGUGGGCGUCUUUGUGGUCACGCAGCUGCCCUAUAAUGUGGUCAAGUUCUGCCGGGCUAUGGACGUCAUGUACACGUUUGUGACUCACUGCGGGGUUAGUAAAGAGCUGGACAAGGCUACUCAGGUCACAGAGAGCCUGGCAUUGACACACUGCUGUCUAAAUCCUGUUCUGUACACUUUCGUCGGCUCCUCCUUCAGACAGCAUGUAUUGAAGUGUGCCAAAGACUUUGGAGAAAGGGGAAGGAGGUUGGCACGUAUGAGAGAGCAACAAGAAGUGGAUAUCUCGUUGAAUUCUCAUUCACAGUCCCAAGAGACCAGCACUUUUUCCAUCUGAGCAAAAUGAAGAGCAUAUGUUUACUAGCCUGUGGAGCUAUGCACAAUCUGCUCCUUUGCAAAAUAUGUACACAUUUACAGGGAAAAAUUAGUGAAAACAUAAGGCAGUAUUUUGACCAGAACAGUAAAAUUCUAACUGAAAUAAAAGCUAAGAUGCAAGAUGUCGAUAGUUGGGUUUAUACGAAACAAAUGGGAAAAGAACAAGUCCGCGGAGUGAUACGAGAGAUACAGAUGCAAGAUAUCUCUUGUGCAUAAUAUUUAACAAGAUUUUCUUAACUCUACAUUUACAAAAUUAUGAAUAAAGAAGAGUUUCUACUCAUAGGCUAAUUAUGACUUUGUGUGUAACGUUAUGACUUUGUGACGUUCAUGUUCGUUUAAUAAAUACAACCUUUCCCACAUGACUUGAAAACACCUUGAUAAACAUCAUUGCCAAAGAGAACAGUGAAUAUAGGCUAAUGGUAUGUUCAAGUCCUCCUGAAGUUCGUAUUUACGAGUUGGCAUGUCCGUCAGGUGCCUUCAAGUUACUUUGGUCAGAUGGCGAUGCAUCUUUUCUAUUGUCAGGGCCGUCCUUAGAGGGGUACAACUGGUGCGGUCGCACCAGGCCCCCGCGCUUGAGGGGGCCCCACGGCGAACGGCCAACCACUCCCACCCCCCACAGAACGCGAUUGCGAAUGGACCGAGGGGUGCCCCGCUCCCUACCUCGCACCAGGCCCCGCGUCAGCUACGGACGGCCCUGUCUAUUGUAAUAAUUUUUUUUUUUAAAUAAUAAUAAUAAUAAAUAAAC
ensembl:lncRNA atypical chemokine receptor 4-like